rnacentral:lncRNA from 1 species
AGAAAUGCAGAGACUUUGGCAAGCUCUGACCUUCCCGAAACAUUCAAGCAGGGCCCAGAGUUCUUCUGACAACGAUGUGGUAAAAGGACCCCCAAUGUCAGACCCAGACAGGAACGACUUGCUUCCAGCAACAGCUAGCUCCAGGAUAUUCCACCAAAACAUGUUGGUUUCCCUUAACCCUCCUCACACCUUUAUUGAACGCUCCACAAUGACCUUGUUCAAGUGGACCGCUUCUCUCUAACCAGGAGAGCUGCCUGGACCUGGACUCAUACAGAGGGAAAUGUGCAGGAAGAGAUGCAGUGAAGGAAACCAACUAGACUUGUGCAUGACAUUUAGUUCUGAGCCUCCUAGCAGGCAAGUCAAAAAGAACAAAGUAUAUCAUGUAAC